GACGAACGCUGGCGGCGUGCUUAACACAUGCAAGUCGAACGAAGAGCGAUGGAAGCUUGCUUCUAUCAAUCUUAGUGGCGAACGGGUGAGUAACGCGUAAUCAACCUGCCCUUCAGAGGGGGACAACAGUUGGAAACGACUGCUAAUACCGCAUACGAUCUAAUCUCGGCAUCGAGGAUAGAUGAAAGGUGGCCUCUACAUGUAAGCUAUCACUGAAGGGGGGGAUUGCGUCUGAUUAGCUAGUUGGAGGGGUAACGGCCCACCAAGGCGAUGAUCAGUAGCCGGUCUGAGAGGAUGAACGGCCACAUUGGGACUGAGACACGGCCCAGACUCCUACGGGAGGCAGCAGUGGGGAAUCUUCCGCAAUGGACGAAAGUCUGACGGAGCAACGCCGCGUGAGUGAUGACGGCCUUCGGGUUGUAAAGCUCUGUUAAUCGGGACGAAAGGCCUUCUUGCGAAUAGUGAGAAGGAUUGACGGUACCGGAAUAGAAAGCCACGGCGAACUACGU
rnacentral:rRNA from 1 species